rnacentral:tRNA from 2 species
CCCUGGUUCGCUGAGUUGGUAGAGCGCUCACUGAAAAUGGAGAAGUCCCGGGUUCGAAACUCGGACCAGGGG